rnacentral:lncRNA from 1 species
GCAGGUUAAUCUUUCAACCACAUUCUGGUAAUUUUCCUUACGGCUACUUCUAAUGUACAUGUGUAUGAUAUAAUAUGAUGUUAGGAUGUACAUCAAAGUCCCUAAUAUAACGAUCUUCUUUUCUUUUAUUUGAUACAAUUGGAACUUGAACAAGGUUUUUAAUUGCUUCUGGCAUAGCUUGCUCAUUCAUCAUAUUCUUCCAAUAGUCUCUCACAUCUUUUCUUCCAUGGCUCAAG